rnacentral:rRNA from 1 species
UACGUAGGGGGCAAGCGUUGUCCGGAUUUAUUGGGCGUAAAGAGCGUGUAGGCGGCCUUACAGGUCAGCUGUGAAAACUCGAGGCUCAACCUCGAGACGUCGGUUGAAACCGUAAGGCUAGAGUCCGGAAGAGGAGAGUGGAAUUCCCGGUGUAGCGGUGAAAUGCGCAGAUAUCAGGAAGAACACCCGUGGCUAAGGCGGCUCUCUAGUACGGUACUGACGCUGAGACGCGAAAGCGUGGGGAGCGAACAGG